rnacentral:rRNA from 1 species
GUAGGGAAUAUUGGACAAUGGGGGCAACCCUGAUCCAGCGACGCCGCGUGAGUGAUGAAGGCCUUCGGGUCGUAAAGCUCUGUUGCAGGGGAAGAACACAAUGACGGUACCCUGCUAGAAAGGAUCGGCUAACUUCGUGCCAGCAGCCGCGGUAAGACGAGGGAUCCUAGCGUUGUUCGGAAUUAUUGGGCGUAAAGCGGGUGCAGGUGGCUUGGUAAGUCAGAUGUGAAAGCCGGGGGGUUAACCCCAGAAGUGCAUUUGAUACUGCUGAGCUUGAGUGCUGGAGAGGCUAUUAGAAUUCCUGGUGUAGUGGUGAAAUACGUAGAUAUCAGGAGGAAUACCGGAGGCGAAGGCGGAUAGCUGGCCAGACACUGACACUCAGACCCGAAAGCGUGGGGAUCAAACAGGAUUAGAAACCCGAGUAGUCC